UGAUCGUGAUUAUUGGGUCUAAAGGGUCCGUAGCCGGUUUGGUCAGUCCUCCGGGAAAUCUGACGGCUUAACCGUUAGGCUUUCGGGGGAUACUGCCAGGCUUGGAACCGGGAGAGGUAAGAGGUACUACAGGGGUAGGAGUGAAAUCUUGUAAUCCCUGUGGGACCACCUGUGGCGAAGGCGUCUUACCAGAACGGGUUCGACGGUGAGGGACGAAAGCUGGGGGCACGAACCGGAUUAGAUACCCGGGUAGUCCCAGCCGUAAACGAUGCUCGCUAGGUGUCAGGCAUGGCGCGACCGUGUCUGGUGCCGCAGGGAAGCCGUGAAGCGAGCCACCUGGGAAGUACGGCCGCAAGGCUGAAACUUAAAGGAAUUGGCGGGGGAGCACAACAACGGGUGGAGCCUGCGGUUUAAUUGGACUCAACGCCGGACAACUCACCGGGGGCGACAGCAAUAUGUAGGCCAAGCUGAAGACUUUGCCUGAAUCGCUGAGAGGAGGUGCAUGGC
rnacentral:rRNA from 1 species